GCGGGUUGAAUCUGGGCUGCUGAGAAUAAGUGGCAGCUGGAGGUGGUGUAGGGCGGUACGACUGCGGUGGGUAGGCGGCAGCUGGAGGGGAUGCCGCGGAUCGAUAAUCCACCCAAGCUGUUGCCUUGACCACAGGGUUAUCUAGUUUGCGGGUGUCUGUACUAAUCCACCAGGCGAGCUGCUUCAGGCAAGGUAAAGGGUUUUCAGUCCCAGACCCACUCUCUGAUUCCC